GGUGUAGCCAAGCGGUAAGGCACAGGACUUUGACUCCUGCACUCGUGGGUUCAAAUCCCGCCGCC
rnacentral:tRNA from 1 species